AAUAAGGGCUGCUGUCGUGAAUGGCACACGUAGGGCAGCUCUAUUGCUCUACAUGCAGAAUCGACAUCAAUAGAUUUCAGAAGCAUAAUUUUUUGGUACCUGAAAGGUACUUUGGUACCUUUCAA